rnacentral:rRNA from 1 species
GCAGAGCAUCCUACGGGAGGCAGCAGUGGGGAAUAUUGCACAAUGGGCGCAAGCCUGAUGCAGCCAUGCCGCGUGUAUGAAGAAGGCCUUCGGGUUGUAAAGUACUUUCAGCAGUGAGGAAGGUGGAUAUGUUAAUAGCAUAUUCAUUUGACGUUAGCUGCAGAAGAAGCACCGGCUAACUCCGUGCCAGCAGCCGCGGUAAUACGGAGGGUGCGAGCGUUAAUCGGAAUUACUGGGCGUAAAGCGCAUGCAGGUGGUUUGUUAAGUCAGAUGUGAAAGCCCGGGGCUCAACCUCGGAAUUGCAUUUGAAACUGGCAAACUAGAGUACUGUAGAGGGGGUAGAAUUUCAGGUGUAGCGGUGAAAUGCGUAGAGAUCUGAAGGAAUACCGGUGGCGAAGGCGGCCCCCUGGACAGAUACUGACACUCAGAUGCGAAAGCGUGGGGAGCAAACAGGAUUAGAUACCCUGAUAG